GACGAACGCUGGCGGCGUGCUUAACACAUGCAAGUCGAACGAUGAUGCUGGAGCUUGCUCCAGUUGAUUAGUGGCGAACGGGUGAGUAACACGUGAGCAAUCCGCCCUUGACUCUGGGAUAACUGCGGGAAACUGUAGCUAAUACCGGAUACUUUCACCGGGGGGCAUCCUCUGGUGAUGAAAGAAUUUCGGUCAAGGAUGAGCUCGCGGCCUAUCAGCUUGUUGGUGAGGUAACGGCUCGCCAAGGCGACGACGGGUAACCGGCCUGAGAGGGUGACCGGUCACACUGGGACUGAGACACGGCCCAGACUCCUACGGGAGGCAGCAGUGGGGAAUAUUGCACAAUGGGCGCAAGCCUGAUGCAGCAACGCCGCGUGAGGGAUGAAGGCCUUCGGGUUGUAAACCUCUUUUAGCAGGGAAGAAGCGAAAGUGACGGUACCUGCAGAAAAAGCACCGGCUAACUACGUGCCAGCCGCCGCCGUAA
rnacentral:rRNA from 1 species